AUGCGGGCUGGCGUGGUCUAUGUGCUGGCGUCCUUGAACAGACGCUGGCGCAGUUCAAUGCUGCACCCUCCUC
rnacentral:tRNA from 1 species